GAAGAUGUCUGAGUUGGUGUGUUUGGUGACUACCAUUCAGCAAUUUAUGCUUGGGAUAGAAGUACCCUUGAGGCUGAGUCUAGGAGCCUGAGUUCUGGAUCUAGGAGGAGUUCUGGAUCACUUCUAGCUCUCGCAGCCAAGCGGGACAUGACACAUCCAGCCUGGGGAGGGAAUGUAGGUUCCCAACAGCGCUGCUGCUUCGACCUUGCUCUGGAUUUCAACUUUACCGGGCCUGGAGCUGCUGCUGUUGGUGCAGAAGAGCCACAGCACAACUGGGCCCAAGCUGGGCAGGUCAGCGGUGCCCCUGCUGCUGUGUUCUGUAGCAUAGUGAGACGGUGAGGGAAGGAGCCUCCCAGGAGCUACAGUCAGAGAGAGGACUCUGGUUUCAUUGGGAAGGAGUGUCGGGCAGCAUGGGCUGACUGUUUCCCGUGCACAGCCCCACACUCCAUGUGCCAGCCAGCCCAACGUGUCUCUCUGCCACCACAUCACGGGCACCAGGGCACUGUCGCAUCACAGCGUGAUCCUGCCGUGGGCUUCAGGGUGUGACUACCCUCCUGAGGCCUGGUGCAUACCCAGCUCCAAGCAGCCAUGGACUGUAGAGUUGAGGACUGUUGUGUUUGUAGGAAAGGCUUGCAGCUGUGGCUCAUUGGCAGCUGGCAGAGCUCUCAUCAGUGAUUUGAGCACUGGAAUACCUUCCCUGCAUGUCCUUCUAUUGCAAAGCCAGGAGCAAGAACACUGAGAUGAACCAUUUGUUCAUGAAAGCUGCCAGCAGAGGAUGUGGCUGAUGAACUGUGAGGGCUGGGAAGAGAUGUCUCCAGGGAGCAGGGCCCGGGCAGUGCUAUGUCCUUUCUGCACACGAGAAGGUCCAGAUGAGUCGACUCUCAGUGAGACCCAUUACAUCCAGUGCCCCUGAUCAAACCAAAGCCCAUAGGCCUACAUUGCUUUUGCUAAUACUAUAAUCAUCCAUUGCAGGCUUUUCUUACAUAACUAGCAAGUCUAUGUUGACUACAGGCUUUGCAGCUUGAAUUCACUCAUGCUUCCUAUUUUUUUUAGCUUCUGUUGGAGUUUCACAGCUCACCUAACCUGCAAGGGCCUCGAACAAAGUACGUGAAUAUGCACCACUUGCUGGCAGAACAAACAAUCCUCUCAGACAACAGGAUUGUUAUUAAAACGGGUUGUUUUGUUGGCAGAAUAGGCUUUCCCUGUUGCCAGGGGUUGCCCAAGGUGAGCCUGACCUCUGUGGUCUCUGAAGCUCUCUCUGGUGGGUGAGCUGAGCAAUGCUGGAAUGCAGCAUUUAAGAUGGAUUAACUGCGAACUUAACACAGGAAACAGUUCAGAGAGAGUAAAAGUAUUACACUGCAGAACUAAGGAUGAAACAUAACUUUUGAUCCCAUAGGACACAAGUUCCAAGGCUGAGAACAUGAUUAUUUGAUAAGAGUCACAGUCAUCUUGUCAGUGCAAGUAAUGUUUGCAGCCUCCUCUUAAGGCAGAAUUCUGCCUUUCCAGGUGCAAGGAAGGGCACUGGAGAGGCAGGCAUGUGGCCAGUGGAAGAGAUGGGUUUGCAUUCUCCCGCUGUGAGAGGAGUAACAAAACCAUGGACCCUACCUCACCCUUUCCACCCAGAGCAGGUCCCCACAUGCCAGGUCUGUCGCCUUUGAACUCUUAAAGUCUUGAUGCAGUUUCACGUGCAUCACAGCACAAACCCUGCACUUUGGUACUAACUUCAGCUGAAAUCAUUUGCACAGACCGGUCCUAAGAAACACCAGUCAUCCACCCAAGCGAAAUUCUGAAUUGCUGGCCGCACCCUGGCAACGUAAUGUUUUCAUACGGCCUAAGGAUCAGCAUGAAUUGGGGUUUCUGGAAAAGGAUAUAUCUGUUCCUUGCUCAGCUCACUAGCUCUCUAGCCACCAUCUGCAAAUCUCUUUGAUACUCUGUAAAAUGGCAUAUUACUACCCUUUAACUCUUUCACCAGGGCUGCAGGGCCAAACUGCUAGAGAUUGACCUGAGCUACAUGGAGUUUUCUGUUUGAUUGAGGUAAGUGGUUUGUUUGGUUUUGGGGCUUUUUGAGCUUAGUAUUGCACCUUAAAUAUUCCACUUUUAAACUGUGCUAUGGCAGGUGUUGGCUCUCUGUUACACUGCAGCUAAAAACCCAGUUUCUACCACAGAUGUUACAGGCAAAUCAGUUUGAAGAUUUUUGUUUCCUGAGCUAAACUACCAUUUAUUAGCUAGAGUUAUUACUAGAAGGCACAGCACAGUGCAUGACACUGUGCUGGGCUGCACAAAUAUGUAUUAAGCCCUGGACUACCAUGAAGAAUGUAGGGAGUAGGAUUACAAGCAUGACUUAGUUAUGAACUACAGACACUUAAAAAUGAAGAAACACUUUUGCAGUCUGAUUCUUGCCUACCACUACAGGAUUCAAAUCUAAAAUGCAACAGAUUCUAUGUGUCUAAGUCCAAAUGAAGAACGAAAAACUCUGAACUUGGUGCCAAUGAGGCCUCCAUGUUAUGGAGUGAUUGUGAAUACAUUUAUUUGACUAGUACAGACAAAGCCUUAUAUAAUUGAGGAAAACAGAGCUCUACCCUACAACAUCCUUGAUCCUUAUCCUGCCCCUUCAACUUAAUUCGAUAAUCAGCACUUACAUCACAGAGAGUUUGGAAAUAUUAUCCAGGCCUCUCCUUCAGCAUUACACUAUGUCAAACGAGUCCCUGCCUGUAAAUAUCUGCUUUCUUCACAACUUUCACCCAGCCCCAUGGUUAGCUUGGCUUAAGUCAGCAAAUACUCAGCAAAACUGGAAUUUGGAAACAGCUUAAGCUCAGCCCCUUUCUGCCUUCAGAUCCAUUGGUUUUACAGUUCUCAAGCAUCAUCAUUCAGCAUCCAGCUGGCAUCCAUUUGACUACAGUUGCUGCUGGAGGAGUGGGAACCAACCACCAUUGUUGCUGAGUUUAUUCUGUAAAUUCAGCCAAAAGAAACUGGUGCACGCCAUCUCGUGGCCCUGCACAGCUAUUUCCCGGGAACGAAUUGAGCUCCAACUGUGACAGGGAGGUUUAAUGUGAACAGGAUUUAAAAGAUGGCUGUCAGCAGCUCAGAAACAGCCCACUAUAUGACCACAGCUAUGAAACUUCCACCAUUAGCACUUGGUCCACACUCCUGCCACGACCUUGCAGCCUGAGCAGCUGUUUCCCGGAGCAGCAGCAGAGCAUCAAGCUGCAAAAGGCACCUCUUCAACAUGUGCUCACACACUGCUGAGACAGCCCUCCCCUCACAACCAAUACUCUGAACACCACAGCCCCAGAGCAGCCUUUGGUGGAGCAGGAAAUUACCUUAUGCAUUUCAGAGUAGGUCAUACACUUUAAUCAUUCUUGAUUACAUGCAAGGUUGGGAAUGUUCUUGGUACAUCUGUCUUCAUCUGCUCUCAGUACUUGUUAAAGAACUCUAUGUGUCAAUGCUUUAAAUAAAGCUAAUGUGUCUCUUCGUAACUGUUCAUUACAGCUGGAUACAUGAACUCAUGGAAACAUCAGCUGUCAGUCCCUUGGUGUAUCAUAAAUUCCUAUUCCUUCUUACUCCCUUUUUUUUUUUUUUUUUUUGAGAAAAACAAGUCAUUAAGAGACCCUUGCCAGAAGUGAUUAAGGUGUGAUUUCAUCAAGUCUAGUUGAGGGAAAUGGGGACAGAGUUCAAUUGUGUGAAUUUAAGGUCUUUGAUUCUAUUUUAAGUGGUAAGUUUCUGACUUAACAAUGUUUAUGACUUUUCAGAUGGGAGAUUAAAUCUGCACCAUUAAAUCAUCUCCAAAUUUGAAGUCAUAUUACCUUUAGCAGAAUUGCUGAUGGCAACACUUAAACACUGUCUCACUUCCACUGCUCUCACAGCUAUCGAAAGGCUGGAUAUAUAGUCAGCAACAACAGGACUUAAAAUAGCUACAGAAGGGGCACAACUUCAGACUAAGCAUCUUAUUUUGCCUGUUACUAGAGACAACUGCACAAGACCUAUGAAAGUUUGCAGCUUGCUGUUGGAAAGAAUCAUACCAGAUAACUUCAGAUGUUACUCCGGAGGACACUGUGCCAUACUGUAAGAACAAAAACAACUACCCAAGGAUUAUAGUUCAAAGCAUCUGAUUACAACCAGCAA